AAACCAUCAAGACUUAAAAAAAAUUACAUACAAGGUUAAAAUAAUGCAGGAAAUUAAUGAUGAGGUGGCACCUUCUCACCGUCAGGGAGGUGUAUCACUCCGCCAGCAGCAAACUUGACGUCAUGGGCCAGGGCAUGCAGCGGCGUGCAGUGCGUGGGUAUGGUGACUGUGUGGCCUCUGAUGUAGAGGUGUGUGAGCUGCUGGACGAGAGAAGAGCAAACUAAAAGUAAACAUGGGAUUGCUGCCGCCUCAGGACACUAGGAGCAUUGCGGAAGCGCUGAGGAAGACAUCACAACCCUUGACACAGCGAACACAACUCAGUACUGAGGCUGGCACUGGCUUCUCCCAACACCUCACGUGGUCAUUGCAACAAAAGGAGGUGAUCUUGCAACCUCAGGGAAAACAACAUGCAGCAAGUGAGUUGGAAUGGCUAGAACCAGAGGAUGGGGGUGUGCGUCCAGGGAGUUGAGGAGUGCCACUGCUUCAACUGAUGUGUGGGACCCUGAGGCAGAGGGUCCACCAGACUGCAGGAUAUGGGGGCUCCUUUGUCACAGAAUAUAUCAACGAGGUGGAAAGCAACCUCUUCAGCAGUUUUCGUCUGUAGAGCCCGAAGACACACCAUCUUCGUCAAGUGAUCCUGGUAGUUCAGAAUGAAACGA